AAUGUCUCAUGAAGCAUCAAGGGGCUUGGUCUUGUGUGUGCUAAAAUCAAGUGCACAGUGUAAAGGAGCAGCAGACACAUGUAAUCACAAUCCAACUCAAGUGGAACAUGCCAUCACUCACUCCAGAGCCUUUUUCUAAAAUCAGUGUCCCCAUUAUUGUCCCCCAACUCUCCUCCCCCAGAGUUGACCUCAACUUUGUGAGUAAACCACAUCCUGCUUUAUAGCUUUAAUACUAUGUACACAUUCCUAAAUGGUACAUAGUUUGCCUGCUUUAGAACUGUAUAUAAAUGGAAUCGUAUAAUCUUUUGGCUUGUAAACUCAAACUUUUUAUGAUCAUCAAUGUUAUUCCUUAUCAAUGUAGUGCACUUUUUCCUUCUAUACUGUUCCUUUAUAAGAAUAUGUUACUAUCAACUUAGCUACUUUUGACAGACUUUAGAAUUGCAGGGAUAUGGGAUAUAUAUCUUCAGUGUGCAUCAGCUAACUCCUGAGUCGUCUUAAAUUUUAAGUUCCCAUCAGCAAUGCAUAUGUUUGUAUUUUGGCUAACCUGAUGGGUAUGUUUAUUUCUCAUUUGGAUUUCUUCUGUUAAGGACUAAUCAAAAAUCAUCAUCUGUUUUCUCCCUAAGCAUUCUUUACAGAGUCUGGACAUUAAUCCUACAUCUGCUGCAGGCUGGGUGACAACAUGUCCUCGCUUAGCCCAGGCACCCAGUGAAGGCCUGCAGCCUCGGUCAAUAUUUAAAGGUCACUGAACAAAGGCUGCUGUUUCUACGUUCACUCAUGAUUCCACCUACCUGGGUAACAAGGUGGAGGUCUGAAGUCCCCACUUCAACAGCAGCUGUUCCAGCAAGAGGACGAGCUUCUGGAGAGGGUCGCACAACAAUGUGAAUGCACUCAACACAACUCAACUGUAAUUUUACAGUGGUCAGGAUGUCAAAUCUUCUGUUUUAUAUUUUACCACCAUUAAAAACAGUGUGUAGUAGCUCCAGAUUUCAUAAUCCUCUGACCCCCGAGUAUAGAAACAGUAACACUCUACAGAAUGCUUUUAUACUCUUCAGUCCUCUGGCCUUUUGGUCAUGGCCUGGGGACUGAGAAAAUUCUACAAAUGCACUCUCCAGUAGGUAACAAUGUGAGUUUGCAAAAUGAAUUUUAUCUUUGGAUUUGCAGC
ensembl:lncRNA